UGAUAGGUGGAAGCCUGAUUUGGCAAUGGUUACAGCAAAUGGUGAAAGUUGGUGCACCUGAUUUGUGAUCCGUACCGGUGCUUUCAGAAGUCCACAUUAACGCACCACAUUUUGAGCAUGCUACGAUUGGGUUUUCAUCGAGUUGUGACGUCGAACCUUUUUCUGAAAAAUAUUUGUUAUAAAAUGUUAAAUUAUAGUUUAUUUAACAUCUUAGGAAUUUAUCAGAGGUCAAGGAAUUAUAAAAUUAGUUUUUGUAAAAAAUCUUAUAUAGGAGAAGUAUGAAGGGGAGGUGGAACAAAACAGUGAAGAUUCGCUUUAAAAUCGCCAUUGAUGAGAAGGUAACGGGAAAAAGAAAAAUAGAGAUCGGAGAAGAUGAAGCGGAAGAGUCGGGGGAGAAACUCUACGGUUGAAGACGAAGCAGCUUUGUUUAAAUCCACCAUUAGAGACGUGAUGUAGGGUUCCACCACAAUCGUCUAAAUCGGCCAUUAGAGAGACUGAGAUGCAGAAGUCUGUGUGACGAUUCCGUUGGUUGGGUUUCGAUCAGUCCUUUCGCCUUCUUUCCUCCAUCCAUCACAGUAAACGAGAUAGUAAAAAUCAGUGUUUGUAUGAUUUUCUUAAUCUCUAGAUUAUUUUAAGAUUACAAGUUUAUACUAUGGGAUGGAUAAUGUGAGGAAACCUGUUGUGAAUCCUUUUAGCUCGGAUUUACCCGGGGAUGACGACUCACUAAUGUGCCUCAACUAAAGACAAAUGUUCUUGAGUAAUAACUACUUAACAAGUGAAGUUCCUCUAUUUGUCCUCAACAGUAGAGCCAUGCUGGUGAUUGUUGCUACAAACAUUAACCCAAAAAUGGUUGGAGGCCGUUUGUUCCUUAAUUCCAUGUCGGAAAUACACAUUUACUAAGACAACGAAACAAAUGCAGGAGAACCUGUAUUUACAGGUUGGUCGCCAGAGACACUGGUCUUCCAUUGGCCGCACCACUCCUGAGAGGGUAUGCAAAGGUUGAGCUCCUGACAAUAGCUGAGCUCAAUAGUUUUGUCAUCACUGCACCGUCUCGGAAUAUUGAGUUCAUAUGCACUGGGAGAGUUACUCGCGUCGACCUAGAGAAAGGAUGGUGUUACGUCGCUUGCUCUGAAUGCACCAAAAGCUGCAGCGCACUGACUCCUCAUUUGCAUGUGUGCGAUGCGAUAAUGCUCAUGCUGUUGGUGCUCUCCGCUACCGAUACUGCUGAAGGUUUUUUUGUUUGUUUUGAUGAUGUAAUGACAAAAUUACAUAACCUCAAAGCAAGUCAAGCUGGUCAAAUGUUGGCUGAAAAAGGUGUGAACCCUGAGGACUCUCGGAUGCCUCUGUUUAUUACAUACAUGGAAGGAAAGACAUACGGCGAGCCAUCAGACAUUCACCAUCACACGCAUUUUUGAUGAACAUGAUCGUGUGCCCCUCCCUCACUUCGUUGACAAUGGAGGGUACGAUGAUGAUGGUGGCGACAUGCCAGGUGAUAAUCCAAUUCCUGCUAAGAUCGAAUCUGGAGGGAGCAGUGGUGAAGCAGCUUUGAAUGGUGGUACGGAUACAAAUGGUGAUGUGUCAAACAAGGUGGCCAAUCCAGCUUCGCAGGUUGUCAAGAAGGCGCGUAUGGCGUAAGUUAAGAUAACAAGAUCUUUGAGCGAAGUACUCUCUAUCUAGAUAAUGCUUAUGCAUGAGCUUUCCUUUUCACGUUUUCGUUUUCUCUACUUUUGACUUUCACCACUUACUACUUAGUGGGUUCUAUGUUUGAGUCAAACAAACUUCUUAUUUCCUAUUAAAAAUAUAUUUAAGCUUCAUGAUCUGA